rnacentral:rRNA from 1 species
UACGUAGGGGGCAAGCGUUGUCCGGAAUCAUUGGGCGUAAAGAGCGUGUAGGUGGCCCGGUCAGUCCGCCGUGAAAGUCCAGGGCUCAACCCUGGAAUGCCGGUGGAUACUGCCGGGCUGGAGUCCGGAAGAGGCGAGUGGAAUUCCUGGUGUAGCGGUGAAAUGCGCAGAUAUCAGGAGGAACACCAAUGGCGAAGGCAGCUCGCUGGGACGGUACUGACACUGAGACGCGAAAGCGUGGGGAGCAAACAGGG